rnacentral:rRNA from 1 species
AACGAACGCUGGCGGCGUGCCUAACACAUGCAAGUCGAACGGGAUUAGGGGGCUUGCUCCUUAAUCUAGUGGCGCACGGGUGAGUAACGCGUAGAUAAUCUGCCCGACGAUCUGGGAUAACACUUCGAAAGGGGUGCUAAUACCGGAUAAGCCCACGUGGUCUUUGGACCGUGCGGGAAAAGGGGGGGACCUUCGGGCCUUCUGUCGUCGGAUGAGUCUGCGUACCAUUAGCUAGUUGGUAGGGUAAAGGCCUGCCAAGGCGACGAUGGUUAGCUGGUCUGAGAGGAUGAUCAGCCACACGGGACCUGAGACACGGUCCAGACUCCUACGGGAGGCAGCAGUGGGGAAUUUUGCGCAAUGGGCGAAAGCCUGACGCAGCAACGCCGCGUGAGUGAUGAAGGCUUUCGGGUCGUAAAGCUCUGUCAGGGGGAAAGAAGUGUAUUGUGGCUAAUAUCCACGAUACUUGACGGUACCCCCAAAGGAAGCACCGGCUAACUCCGUGCCAGCAGCCGCCGUAACAC